rnacentral:lncRNA from 1 species
UCAUCCAUUGACUGGGACAAUUUACGUGAACGUUUGUCUGUAACGACCACUGUUCACGACGUACCUACGAUAGACAUUUAAACUGUGGGGUCACCAAAGGUUUCUUAACGCCUUUAAUUAUAAAAUAAUUCGAAAAGUUAAUCAGGAAUAACCUUUAUGUUUUGAUUUAUAUAAUUGAUAUAAAUCAAAACAUCGUGUUAUUUCUGAUUGAUUUUUCGAAUUACUUUAUUAAGGUGUUGAGAACCUUUGGUGACCCCAUAGUUUAAGUGUCUUUAAAAAGUACAUAGUGAGCAGUUGUCGUUACAUACAAACGUUCACCUAAAUUGUCCCAGUCAAUGGAUGAAUUUAAUGUGUCAAUCAAUGGCCACAGCCACACUGUUUUGAAUUUCAUUCUAUUU